ensembl:lncRNA
UGUCAAACAGGUAAAAAAAAAACAAGGGGUCUAAAAUAGUUCCUUGUGGUUAUAUCCACUGGUCGGUGACCACAGUGCAUCACAUGAAAAUUGGUUAACUAUCUGACUCAAUAUAGCUACACAAGAACUUUCCAACAGAGGUGCUCGGUCAGAAAAAAGCAUGCGGCCUGUCUGCAAACUGUAGAGAGGAGACGUGCAGUUGCAUGAUGAGAGCAUUUGACCAGAAUGUACAGAUAAGGCUUCUAGAAGUACUCCAUUUUUAAGGACACCUCACACUUCUGAUGGCCAUUAAUGGUCGUGUUGCAAACAGAAAUGCUGCUUAUUCCUCUCGUGCUGGUGUUUGCAGGAGUUUCUCAUGUUUUAUCUACAGAAACCAAGACUGUCUGUGAUGCGACCCAGUUUGCUACAUGUCAUGGGACCCUGGGAGAACCUACAUAUUUACAGUUGCUGCCAAGUGCCGUUGGACAUCAAUUACUUUGCAAGAAAAUGACUCAGAAUGGUCUUACAGGGGUUUUUAGAUUAAAAAAGAACCAGACUGUGUUCUUCAAUGAGUCCUUCACCUCACCUAUACAGGACCGAUGGCACUUUGUUGCUGCAAACGGUACAAUAAUGAUCAACCCAGCAACAAAGAGAGACUCAGGAACAUACAGAGUAGAGAUCCACAAUGAAGAAACAGGGGCGCUUGUGGCAAAUACCACAAUACAGCUGAUUAUUUUGGGUACACACAGUACUGUGAGAUCCAUUUUGACUGACAGGACCGACAACCCCAGCAAGAUGGAAACACGUGUUUGUACCCACAGUACUGUGAGAUCCAUUUUGACUGACAGGACCAACAACCCCAGCAAGAUGGGAACACGUGUUUACAUGGUCAGUUUAAUAGCAGCUUCACUUGGCGUGGUCCUGCUGUGUGUGACUGUGUAUGGGGGAGUAUACUAUGUCUGCCAGAGGAGGACACACACACCCAAACCAGAGCUGGAGUGCUGUGUGUAUGUUCAGGUUCAACGAGGACAGUGAGAGGAGGCUGGGUAUUGUUCUUCAAUCAUUCGAUGGCUCAGAUUUGUCUAAGAUUUUCUCUGCAUAGCUUUUUUCCGGCUCCACCCCGCCCCAAUACCAUGUAUUAUUCACAAUUAGCCUACCCCAGCCUCUUUUGUGGAUGCUAUAUUCUGGAUAUGCUCUUUUUCUCACUGUUAUAUUAAACUGUGGUC